rnacentral:rRNA from 1 species
AGUGAACGCUGGCGGCAGGCCUAACACAUGCAAGUCGAACGGCAGCACAGGGGAGCUUGCUCCCUGGGUGGCGAGUGGCGGACGGGUGAGGAAUACAUCGGAAUCUACCCUUUCGUGGGGGAUAACGUAGGGAAACUUACGCUAAUACCGCAUACGAUCUGAGGAUGAAAGCAGGGGACCGCAAGGCCUUGCGCGAUUGGAUGAGCCGAUGUCCGAUUAGCUAGUUGGCGGGGUAAAGGCCCACCAAGGCGACGAUCGGUAGCUGGGCUGAGAGGAUGAUCAGCCACACUGGAACUGAGACACGGUCCAGACUCCUACGGGAGGCAGCAGUGGGGAAUAUUGGACAAUGGGCGCAAGCCUGAUCCAGCCAUGCCGCGUGUGUGAAGAAGGCCUUCGGGUUGUAAAGCACUUUUGUUGGGAAAGAAAUCCUGUCGGCUAAUACCCGGCUGGGAUGACGGUACCCAAAGAAUAAGCACCGGCUAACUUCGUGCCAGCCGCCGCCGUAA